GACGAACGCUGGCGGCGUGCUUAACACAUGCAAGUCGAACGGUGAAGCGCCUUCCUUUUUGGUGGGUGUGGAUGAGUGGCGAACGGGUGAGUAACACGUGAGUAACCUGCCCCCUUCUUCUGGAUAACCGCAUGAAAGUGUGGCUAAUACGGGAUAUUCUGGGUCUGCCGCAUGAUGGGUCUGGGAAAGAUAUUGUUUCGGUGGGGGAUGGGCUCGCGGCCUAUCAGCUUGUUGGUGGGGUGAUGGCCUACCAAGGCGGUGACGGGUAGCCGGCCUGAGAGGGUGGACGGUCACACUGGGACUGAGACACGGCCCAGACUCCUACGGGAGGCAGCAGUGGGGAAUAUUGCACAAUGGGCGCAAGCCUGAUGCAGCGACGCCGCGGGAGGGAUGGAGGCCUUCGGGUUGUGAACCUCUUUCGCCAGUGAAGCAGGCCUGCCUCGUUUGUGGGUGGGUUGACGGUAGCUGGAUAAGAAGCGCCGGCUAACUACGUG
rnacentral:rRNA from 1 species